UGGCUCAGGAUGAACGCUAGCGGCAGGCUUAACACAUGCAAGUCGAGGGGUAACAGGAGUGCUUGCACUCGCUGACGACCGGCGCACGGGUGCGUAACGCGUAUAGAACCUACCUUUUACUGAGGGAUAGCCUUUAGAAAUGAAGAUUAAUACCUCAUGGUAUUGUAAAUCGGCAUCGGUUUAUAAUUAAAGAUUUAUUGGUAAAAGAUGGCUAUGCGUCUUAUUAGCUAGAUGGUAAGGUAACGGCUUACCAUGGCAACGAUAAGUAGGGGCCCUGAGAGGGGGAUCCCCCACACUGGUACUGAGACACGGACCAGACUCCUACGGGAGGCAGCAGUGAGGAAUAUUGGGCAAUGGAGGCAACUCUGACCCAGCCAUGCCGCGUGCAGGAAGACUGCCCUAUGGGUUGUAAACUGCUUUUAUACAGGAAGAAACACACCUACGUGUAGGUGCUUGACGGUACUGUAAGAAUAAGCACCGGCUAACUCCGUGCCAGCAGCCGCGGUAAUACGGAGGGUGCAAGCGUUAUCCGGAAUCAUUGGGUUUAAAGGGUCCGCAGGCGGUCAAUUAAGUCAGAGGUGAAAUCCCAUAGCUCAACUAUGGAACUGCCUUUGAUACUGGUUGACUUGAGUUAUACGGAAGUAGAUAGAAUAAGUAGUGUAGCGGUGAAAUGCAUAGAUAUUACUUUAGAAUACCGAUUGCGAAGGCAGUCUACUACGUAUAUACUGACGCUCAUGGACGAAAGCGUGGGGAGC
rnacentral:rRNA from 1 species